GUUUGGGUGCCCGAGUGGUUAAGGGGCCGGCCUGCUAAGCCGUUGGGCUUUGCCCGCGCGAGUUCGAAUCUCGUCCCAAACG
rfam:Strongyloides ratti strain ED321 Heterogonic genome assembly, chromosome: 2